rnacentral:misc_RNA from 1 species
GACGAAGAACGUAGCGAAAUGCGAUAAGUAGUGUGAAUUGCAGAAUUCAGUGAAUCAUCGAAUCUUUGAACGCACAUUGCGCCCCUUGGUAUUCCAUGGGGCAUGCCUGUUCGAGCGUCAUUUGUACCCUCAAGCUAAGCUUGGUGUUGGGUGUUUGUCCACUCCCUCGUGUUUGGACUCGCCUUAAAACAAUUGGCAGCCAGUGUUUUGGUAUUGAAGCGCAGCACAAUUUGCGAUUCUAGCCUAGAAUACUAGCAUCCAUCAAGUCAUUUUUAACGCUUGACCUCGGAUCAGGUAGGGAUACCCGCUGAACUUAAGCAUAUCAAUAAGCGGAGGA